rnacentral:rRNA from 1 species
UGCAAGUCGAGCGAAGUCCGGACUUAGUGGCGCACGGGUGCGUAACGCGUGGGAAUCUGCCCUGGGUACGGAAUAACUCAGAGAAAUUUGUGCUAAUACCGUAUAAUGACUUCGGUCCAAAGAUUUAUCGCCCAAGGAUGAGCCCGCGUAAGAUUAGCUGGUUGGUGGGGUAAAAGCCUACCAAGGCGACGAUCUUUAGCUGGUCUGAGAGGAUGAUCAGCCACACUGGGACUGAGACACGGCCCAGACUCCUACGGGAGGCAGCAGUGGGGAAUAUUGGACAAUGGGCGAAAGCCUGAUCCAGCAAUGCCGCGUGAGUGAUGAAGGCCUUAGGGUUGUAAAGCUCUUUUACCCGGGAUGAUAAUGACAGUACCGGGAGAAUAAGCUCCGGCUAACUCCGUGCCAGCAGCCGCGGUAAUACGGAGGGAGCUAGCGUUGUUCGGAAUUACUGGGCGUAAAGCGCGCGUAGGCGGUUUUUUAAGUCAGAGGUGAAAGCCCAGUGCUCAACACUGGAACUGCCUUUGAAACUGGAAAACUUGAAUCUUGGAGAGGUCAGUGGAAUUCCGAGUGUAGAGGUGAAAUUCGUAGAUAUUCGGAAGAACACCAGUGGCGAAGGCGACUGACUGGA